rnacentral:snRNA from 20 species
AUCUUUAUGCAGGGGCAUUACGUGUAUCAGUGAGGAUUCGUCCGAGAUCAUGUUUUUGCUGGUUGAAAACUAUAACCUGACAACUCCUUGGUAGACCUUGCCUUGUGCUUGGGCUGCCCGGGGAAUUUUUGGAUUUGCCUGAUUUUGCUUUGUGGCA